AGGCACUUUAUUCUUAUAGCAUUGUUUUGCAGUGAAGUUUUUCAGAAUAUUACAAAACAUACCACACCGCUAAUACUGGUAAGUGUACAUAAAGUCUGCAAUUUACAGAACAAAUAACUUCAAAGGCUGUGAAAAUCUAUGGAAAACAGAUUCAUGAAUGAAAGAAAAAUGUUUGCAUAAGGCCAGUCACCUAAAUCAGAAUCCUGCCAUAAUGUUUAUCUCUCAUUGUAUCACUUAUCAAUCACAGCACAGGCAUACAAUGCUAUUAGAAUGAGAUUUUAAAAGGCACCAUUUCUUAAUGUAGUAGCAAAGCACUAAUAUAUGCCUUUAAGUAGUGUUAUUUUUUUAGAAAAAGAGGUGCCUGAAAUCAUCAUUGUUCUCUUAUCAUGGCAGUGGUGCCCACCUGAGAGGUGCUGGAACUGAGUUUUGGUUAGUUCUGGCUGAAAAAAGCCCUGCCUUUAAGUAGUAUUACAGGUUUGUUCCAGCACCUGCCAGCUCUUGGCAGCUCUCUCCUUCUCUACCACACAGAAGUGUUUAUACUGUGCUGCUUCUGAGAUCUGCACACACUCACAUAGUUUAUUAAGAGAUUGUGCAGUUUGACUGCAUUUAACACUGCACAGGUGGGUCAGGCCAGCCUGUACUAAGCUCUUUUAGACUGCAGGACUACCAAGAACUGAUCCGUAGAUGUUGAUCAGUUGCUGCUGCUAACUAUUGUGAAUGAAGGACUUGGUUGAAAGAGAUAUCUCUCUUUUUUUCUAAGAUAUAUCCUCUACAUCCAUUUUGUAUAUUACAAGUAGAACAUCACAAAGCUACUGUCCGGAUAGGACCAAGACCAAAAAGGCACAUCUACCACACAUAUUUAAAUUAGCUAAAAUUGUACUGCUUCCCCCCCCCCCCAAAGGAUCAUGAAUUUGUGAUUUUGUGCAAAUGCUGAUAACUGUGUCUUAGCAGUGAUAGCUUCGUAAUAGGUCUACAGUGGACAGGAUUUACUGAGUGGAAAUACUCAAAAAUGUUUAAAACAUAUGUAUAAUGUAGAAACAGACUAUGCUCAGGGAGGUGUCUAGGGUUAUUGCAGAGAUAGCCAACAGAUCAGGCAUGCAGCCCUGGAUUCCUUUUUUUUUUGCGGUCCUCUGCAACAUUUGAUGUACUUCCCAGCCCUUGAGCUGCCUUUCCAAAGCUGGUUGCGGUGCUAGACUUUGGGACCCUGCCAGAGCCUCAUGCCUCCUUCCAAAAGCUCAGCACCUAGCUUAGCCAGCUUUAGGAAAGCAGUGUGAGGGCUGGAGGGGGCAUCAGAUUUUGGCCUCAGUGUGGCAAGGUAGUGUGUGGCCUGCAUGUUUCACGUCAAAGUACUCUUGCAGCCCACUUGGUAUGAAAAGUUGGGCUGCCCCAUCUACAGAUGUUGUGGACUACAACACCAUGAUAAUCUGCCAUGUGGGCUGGGGUUGUGAGGAGCAUCUGGAGGGCACCACAUUAACUACCCUUGUGCUAUUGUUUCACUGCAGCAGGAGAAGGUCUUUAACCUUCAGUGUAAUGGUGCCUAAUAUUUUCUAAUGAUUUGCUGACAAUGUUCCUCUUUUAAGAAGGGCAACACAUCCAUUGAUUUUCACAGUGGAUGUUUGCACUUGUAAAGGUUCAACAUUAGUGAAUCAAACAUUACUGAGCUGUUUAUGAUCGUAUCGAACUGUUAUUACAAGUUUGCAGUUCCAAACACACAGAUAUAUCUCUGCUUACAACCUUUCCCUGCACAACUAGUAUUUUGCUGGUGCAUCUUUUCUAAAUGUAAUUUGCCCAUAAGCAGAAUGAGCAUACCUAAGUGUUUUUCAUAGCAGGAUACUUUUUAAAAUGGAAACAGGUUUGCUUUUAGGCUAUGGGGUGGGUGAGAUAGAGCUCCUUUAGCUUCAUGACUGCUGGAGGAAAACAAUGCCACAAUUUGAGUGAUUAAAAAAACACACAGAUAUUUUGAGUGUUGUUUGCAAACAAAUGGAAUCAGCUAAACAAACACACUUAUCUGGACUGAGUUGUCUCAAGUUAGGAAAUACGGUAGUAACUUUUUCCAAAAAAAGCCCCCAGUGGCCUGGGGUGGGGAACUACAUUUACAAUUCUGUGAGUGUUUAAGUAAGUUCCAUUGAGUUCAACAUGGCUUACUUGCUUGUGUGAUUAGGAUCACAACCUAAGGAACUAGUCUUUUCAUUUAUUUAUGUGUAAGUAGAAACACAACCAUCACUAUUAACCUGUUAAAGGUGGAAUAAGGAAAAAAAUUGGUUUACCCCAAAGUAAAUGUGCAUGGAUUGCAGAUUUACCUCUAUUGAGUACGGGACUGAAGAAAUGCAGGCACUCCAAUCCUAUCCAUGUUUGCUCAGAAGUAAGUCUGUGUUUAACAGGGCUUAUACAUACAUUUGUGUAAAUUAGUUUGCACAGGACUAUCAUGCACACACAAGUAAAUGUGCACUGCACUAUCACUGGAGCUCCAUAUUCUAAAAGAAAAACUAAAAUGUCCUCAUCCCCACACUUCAUGUAUUACAGUUGUAGCAAGGAAUCAGAAGGGGAAAAUCCAUAACUACCAGAAAAUAGCAAUCCUAAAUACAGCAGUAACCAACCCUGGUAUUUUGGGCUGCCUUUUUUUUUUUUUUAAACUCAAGCUUCCCAAGCUAUUCCGGUGAUACUUGCAUGCAGUGCUUUUUUUCUAAAAAAAUAUUUAGGGGUACUCUCAUUUUCCUACUCAUAUUGAAAUACUGACCCCUCAAUGAGGCCAAACUUAGAUUCACAAAAUGUUUAGGGGUAUGUGUACCCCUGUGUCCCCCCAGAAAAAAAGCACUGGAGGAAGUAAUAAAGUACCUGCAGAAAGUAAUAAAGUAUAUCAGGUGCGUGAUGUGGAUUUAAUGCCAAGAGGAUGUUAGAACAGGAUGCUAGACUAGAUGGAUUAAGCAGCCUCCAGUCCCUGUUAGAGAAAACGGUGGGCUAUAAAUGAAUGAAUGAAUGAAUGAAUGAAAUGAAACUCUGAGAAUGCUCAGGCACAGUGUAAGAC
rnacentral:lncRNA from 1 species